rnacentral:rRNA from 1 species
UACGUAGGGGGCUAGCGUUGUUCGGAUUUAUUGGGCGUAAAGAGCUCGUAGGCGGUUUGUCGCGUCGGCCGUGAAAACUUGGGGCUUAACCCCGAGCCUGCGGUCGAUACGGGCAGACUUGAGUUCGGCAGGGGAGACUGGAAUUCCUGGUGUAGCGGUGAAAUGCGCAGAUAUCAGGAAGAACACCCGUGGCGAAGGCGGCUCUCUGGGACGGUACUGACGCUGAGACGCGAAAGCGUGGGGAGCGAACAGG